rnacentral:rRNA from 1 species
AGCGAACGCUGGCGGCAGGCUUAACACAUGCAAGUCGAGCGGGCCCUUCGGGGUCAGCGGCAGACGGGUGAGUAACGCGUGGGAACGUGCCCUUCGGUUCGGAAUAACUCAGGGAAACUUGAGCUAAUACCGGAUACGCCCUUAUGGGGAAAGGCUUGCUGCCGAAGGAUCGGCCCGCGUCUGAUUAGCUAGUUGGUGAGGUUAAGGCUCACCAAGGCGACGAUCAGUAGCUGGUCUGAGAGGAUGAUCAGCCACACUGGGACUGAGACACGGCCCAGACUCCUACGGGAGGCAGCAGUGGGGAAUAUUGGACAAUGGGGGCAACCCUGAUCCAGCCAUGCCGCGUGAGUGAUGACGGCCUUAGGGUUGUAAAGCUCUUUUCUCCGGGACGAUAAUGACGGUACCGGAGGAAUAAGCCCCGGCUAACUUCGUG